rnacentral:tRNA from 1 species
CCGAUAUAGCUCAGUUGGUAGAGCAAUCGAUUCGUAAUCGAUAGGUCAAGAGUUCAAGUCUCUUUAUCGGC